rnacentral:rRNA from 1 species
AUUGAACGCUGGCGGCAUGCCUUACACAUGCAAGUCGAACGGUAACAGGUCUUCGGAUGCUGACGAGUGGCGAACGGGUGAGUAAUACGUCGGAACGUGCCCGAGAGUGGGGGAUAACGAGGCGAAAGCUUUGCUAAUACCGCAUACGAUCUCAGGAUGAAAGCAGGGGACCGCAAGGCCUUGCGCUCACGGAGCGGCCGAUGGCAGAUUAGGUAGUUGGUGGGAUAAAAGCUUACCAAGCCGACGAUCUGUAGCUGGUCUGAGAGGACGACCAGCCACACUGGGACUGAGACACGGCCCAGACUCCUACGGGAGGCAGCAGUGGGGAAUUUUGGACAAUGGGCGCAAGCCUGAUCCAGCCAUGCCGCGUGCAGGAUGAAGGCCUUCGGGUUGUAAACUGCUUUUGUACGGAACGAAAAGACUCUGGUUAAUACCUGGGGUCCGUGACGGUACCGUAAGAAUAAGCACCGGCUAACUACGUGCCAGCCGCCGCAGUAAUAC